GAAUGAACGUUGGCGGCGUGGAUUAGGCAUGCAAGUCGAGCGAGAACCCACAAGGGGGACAGCGGCAAACGGGGUAGUAACGGGUAGGUGACGUACCCUCGGGUCGGGGAUAGCCACGGGAAACUGUGGGUAAUACCCGAUAAUCUCUUCAGGCGUGAUAGUUUGGAGAGCAAAGGUGUGAUUCCACCGGAGGAGCGGCCUGCUUCGUAUUAGCUUGUUGGUGAGGUAACGGCUCACCAAGGCGACGAUGCGUAGGGGGUGUGAGAGCAUGACCCCCACCACUGGGACUGAGAUACUGCCCAGACACCUACGGGUGGCUGCAGUCGAGAAUCUUCGGCAAUGGGCGCAAGCCUGACCGAGCGACGCCGCGUGUGGGAUGAAGGCCCUUGGGUUGUAAACCACUGUCAGAGGGGAUGAAGUGCCAGAGGGCAAUCUCUCUGGUUUGACAUAGCCUCAGAGGAAGCACGGGCUAAGUUCGUGCCAGCAGCCGCGGUAAUACGAACUGUGCGAACGUUAUUCGGAAUCACUGGGCUUACAGGGUGCGUAGGCGGCUUGUUAAGUAGGGUGUGAAAGCCCCCGGCUCAACCGGGGAAUUGCGCCCUAAACUGGCGAGCUGGAGUGAGAUAGGGGUGUGUGGAACUUCCGGUGGAGCGGUGAAAUGUGUUGAUAUCGGAAGGAACGCCGGUGGCGAAAGCGACACACUGGAUCUUGUCUGACGCUGAGGCACGAAAGCCAGGGGAGCGAACGGGAUUAGAUACCCCGGUAGUCCUGGCUGUAAACGAUGAGCACUAGCUGGGAGGGGCGUAGGCCCUUCCCAACGGAGCGAAAGUGUUAAGUGCUCCGCCUGGGG
rnacentral:rRNA from 1 species